GUAGACAGCUUAGACGGGACAACGACCAGAGACAGUGAGCAGACCAUGGAGAGGCAGUUGAGUCCUAAGUUUGAGGAAGACAGGAUAACAGCCUGUUCCCGCUGGGAGAGCUGAUCGUGGCCAGUGAAAUGGGAGAGUCUUGCAGAGGUCACUGAUCAAUGGAUCACAGACUCUCAAGCUCGGCAGUGGUGGCCCAGGACUUUAAUUCCAGGACUCAGAAGGCAGAGGCAGGCAGAGUUGAGGCUAACCUGGUCUACAGAGCAACAGGAGAGCUGAGGGUAUGCAGAGAAACCCUGCCUCGAAGAGACAAACAAACAAACAAAAAGAACAUAUAUUGUCCAGAACUCUGCUGCUUGACACCAUCGCACUCGUCCAGGGCUCCCCACUUCCGACCUCCCGGUUCAGACACCUCUCGCACCCCACUCGUGUCUACCCAUUGUACCGCCCGUUAAAGCCCCGAACUCCUUUCCAAGGGGCCCAUCCGCCUCUGUUUGGGCAGCGGAACUCGAGGCACAGAGGAAUGACGCCAAGCCGGAAAGGCCGCACGGCAGUGAUCCACCCGGAAGUGAGCCCCCCAUCAGGUUCCCCAGGGCCCCGGCGCCGGUCGGCCACGUACCCACCUGCCCAAGUAUGGCUGCAGCCAUGAUCCCGUGCGGCCAGUGACUGUGCCCGCCUGGGGCGCGGCCUGGUGAAAGGCAUUCCGGCCCCGCCCUGCUCACGCCCCCUCCCGCAGAUGGCUGCUGUCUGCAAGCCUCACUUCUGCCAGGCCGUUCUUAGUGAUAGGACCUCAGGGACCCAGGCUCUGCUGUGAAGAACAUGCGCUGGAACAGUCCAGAACUAUCGUACACUCUCUCUUCUUGUCUCCACCCUGCCAUCCUCUACCGCACCCGCACUCACGCCCAGUUAGGCAUUUACCUUGGCUUUUGUUUUGCAUUUGAGUGCUUGGGGACCGAACCUAGGACCUCAUGCAUGUUUGGGAAGCGUUCUAACCACUGAGAACAGACGCAGACCUUUAAUAUUACUGGGUAUGGUGGCACACGUCUUAAUCGCAGCGUUUGGGAGGCAGAAGUGGAGGAUUUCUGUGAGUUCAAAGCCAUUCUGAUCUACCUAAUUAGUUCCAGGGCAGCCUGGGCUAUCUGGUAAGACCCUGUCUCAAAACAAAAGGAGGUUGGAAAGAGGGCUCAACAGCUAAAAAUACUGGGCUGCUCUUCUAGAGGACUAGGCUCGGCUCCUAGCACCCACAUAGCUGCCUGUAACUCCAGUUCCAAGGGAUCCUGCGCCCUCUUCUGAAUUCCACAGGCACUAGGCACGCACAUGAUACACUUACAUACAUGCAAGCAGUACACAGACACAAAAACUUUUUACACUUUUCUUUCUCUUAUUUAUUUAUUUAGAGACAGAGUUUAUCUGCGUAGCCCUGGUUGUCCUGGAACCAGCUCUGUAAACCAGGCUGUCCUCAAACAAAGACUCUCCUGCCUCUGCCUCCCAAGCUGGAAUUAUAGGUGUGCCACUAUUGCUUGCUAUAAAAAGGUUUUCUAAAAAUAAAGCAACAACAACACA